ACGAACGCUGGCGGCGUGCUUAACACAUGCAAGUCGAACGGAAAGGCCCUGCUUUUGUGGGGUGCUCGAGUGGCGAACGGGUGAGUAACACGUGAGUAACCUGCCCUUGACUUUGGGAUAACUUCAGGAAACUGGGGCUAAUACCGGAUAGGAGCUCCUGCUGCAUGGUGGGGGUUGGAAAGUUUCGGCGGUUGGGGAUGGACUCGCGGCUUAUCAGCUUGUUGGUGGGGUAGUGGCUUACCAAGGCUUUGACGGGUAGCCGGCCUGAGAGGGUGACCGGCCACAUUGGGACUGAGAUACGGCCCAGACUCCUACGGGAGGCAGCAGUGGGGAAUAUUGCAAAAUGGGCGGAAGCCUGAUGCAGCAACGCCGCGUGCGGGAUGACGGCCUUCGGGUUGUAAACCGCUUUCGCCUGUGACGAAGCGUGAGUGACGGUAAUGGGUAAAGAAGCACCGGCUAACUACGUG
rnacentral:rRNA from 1 species